rnacentral:piRNA from 1 species
UCUCACAGAUGUCUCAUCUCUACCUGUUU